UCCUACGGGAGGCUGCAGUGGGGAAUUUUGGACAAUGGGCGCAAGCCUGAUCCAGCCAUUCCGCGUGAGUGAAGAAGGCCUUCGGGUUGUAAAGCUCUUUCGCAAGGGAAGAAAACUUACAUUCUAAUAAAGUGUGAGGCUGACGGUACCUUGAUAAGAAGCACCGGCUAACUACGUGCCAGCAGCCGCGGUAAUACGUAGGGUGCGAGCGUUAAUCGGAAUUACUGGGCGUAAAGCGUGCGCAGGCGGUUUUGUAAGUCAGAUGUGAAAUCCCCGAGCUCAACUUGGGAACUGCGUUUGAAACUACAAGACUAGAAUAUGUCAGAGGGGGGUAGAAUUCCACGUGUAGCAGUGAAAUGCGUAGAGAUGUGGAGGAAUACCAAUGGCGAAGGCAGCCCCCUGGGAUAAUAUUGACGCUCAUGCACGAAAGCGUGGGGAGCAAACAGGAUUAGAUACCCGGGUAGUCG
rnacentral:rRNA from 1 species